UUACGGCUAUAUCACGUCGAAAGACCGGUUCCCGUACGAUCACCGAAAUUAAGCAACGCCGGUCAGUACCUAGAUGGGUGACUACUUGGAAAUACCAGAUGCUGUAA